CUAAACGUCGAUCCCACCACUGGUGCUCCUGCUGGAGGAAAGCAGCAAAAACCCCAUCACCUGCUUAUCCACUCCCCUCCCUGCAAAUCUGCAGCUCCAUUUCUUCAUUCCCAUGUCCAAUUAACAACAGCAGCUUGAGAGAACUUUUGUCUCUUCUUCUCUAAUUCAUCGGCUAUAGAGACUUGAAUUGCUUGUUGUGCUCGUAGGGCUUUCCUCUCCAAUCUUUCUUCUCAGAAUUCUACUGCUCUCAUGUCUCCUUCCUUCGCCACGAGAGUCUGAAAGCAAGCUCGCUAUUUGGGGAGUCAUUAAGGCAAGUUCCCAAGUCAUCGAUAAAGGUGGCAUCAAGGCCAAAGAGUUCUCCCCCUAAAACCAGAUGUGAGAUUUGUGAUAAUCUGGUGAGUGCAUCUGUGGUAAUGCCUGCAAGGUGUUUGUGAUAUUGGUUGUUUGAAUAUUUGAGGAGUUUGUGAUUGUAGGAGGUGUUUCUCACCAAAGCAACCACAGAUAAGGGAUUGAUCAAAAUGAUGAUGUGUAUGGGAGAAGCUCUAAGGACCAUUUCCUUCAAGGUUAGAACGGCUUCUUAUGGAGGAACUGAGUGUGUCAACUCCUUUGGAGAUGAACAACUUGUUGUCAAUAUGCUUGCCGUCAAGCUUCUGUUUGAGGUCUUUCACGAACUCAAAGAAGUCGACAACUAGAAAUGCAACUAAUUGGUGGAUGAGCUUCUUUGUUGGGGUUGGGUUGAAAGCUGAGAACCGGAGCAUGAGGUAAGCGUUGAGCCCAGAAAGCUGUUGUCAAAGCACAGUUGAGCCUGAGCAAGUAGAAGUUGGAGCAAUUAAGUGCUUGAGCAUAGAUUCACAGUGUAAUAAUUAUCCCACACGGGGAUAUUUUACCAUGCCCGUACAAUUACCACCUAGGUGCCCUAAAAUUGGGACCCGAUAUAAAAGGGACAGAAUGACCUAGCCGAUAUACGCAGAUCCCAAUAGAGAAUAUUUUAUGUGUUGGAAAAGGCAAGGGAGAGGAAUUUUCACCAUUUUCGGAAGGAGAACUGGCGACAGAGAGAGCUGUUGCUGUCAU